rnacentral:rRNA from 1 species
CACCGCGGUUAUACGAGAGGCUCAAGUUGAUAGUUGCCGGCGUAAAGAGUGGUUACGGAACUUACUAAACUAAAGCCAAACACCUCCUAGGCUGUCAUACGCACCUGAAGGCACGAAGUCCCCUCACGAAAGUAGCUUUACCCUCCCCCGAACCCACGACAGCUAUGUUA